AAGCGAACGUCAACCUCGACGCUUUAAAGAAAAUCAAAACAAUAUAUUCACGAUAACGUGACCGAAAUUGUGUAUAAAACCAAUCUGUCUGCAGCGCU